ensembl:lncRNA
GGGUAUGUGUGUGAGAGAUAAAAAGAAGGGGAUGUAGCCAUUUAAAAGUCUAUCUAGGAAUCAUUAUGCUUCAUGUUUUACGAAUACUUUUAUCUCUCAAUCUUUACAACAACAACAACAAAAAAUCUUUACAACAACCCUGAGUAGUUAUUUCCCCAGUAAGGGGAUCACCUGGAGGUAUCAGAGCGUCCUGAACAGGGACUGAGAGCUGGGCUUCAAACACUGAGCCAACUCUGCAGCCUACAUCGACUCCUCUAGUCCACGCCCUAAACACGAGACUGUCUCAUGAAUGUGACUUCGCCUCUCAGUUUUUUCAUAGCAAUUUUGUGACUUUUGGGGUUCCUUCAUAGUUCAGUUGGUAAAGAAUCUGCCUGCAAUGCAGGAGACCCAGGUUCAAUCCCUGGGUCAGGAAGAUCCGCUAAAAAAAGAAGAGAUAGGCUACUCACUCCAGUAUUCUUGGGCUUCCCUUGUGGCUCAGCUGGUAAAGAAUCCACCUGCAGUGUGGGAAACCUGGGUUCAAUCCCUGGGUUUGGAGAUCCCCUGAAGAAGAGAAAAGCUUCCCACUCCAGUACUCUGACCUGGAGAAUUCACAGAGUCAGAUUGGGCUGAGCAAACUGCCCUGGCAAGAGGCCACCAGAAAUUCCAGUUGCAGAAGACUGUAAUCUUCCUUCACAAAAAGGCCUGGAAAGUGCCGCUGCUGCUAAGUCGCUUCCGUUGUGUCCGACUCUGUGCGACCCCAUAGACCGCAGCCCACCAGGCUCCUCCGUCCUUGGGAUUCUCCAGGCAAGAACACUGGAGUGGGUUGCCAGUUCCUUCUCCAAUGCAUGAAAGUGAAAAGUGAGAGUGAAGUCGCUCAGUCUUGUCCGACUCUUCGCGACCGCGUGGACUGCAGCCUACCAGGCUCCUCCGUCCAUGGGAUUUUCCAGGCAAGAGUAUUGGAGUGGGGUGCCAUUGCCUUCUCCAAUGCCCUAUUGCUCUUAAACAUCUCUAACCCUUACUCAAGAAAAGGGCAAAGGUUAAGUAAAAAUGUUUGGCAUAGUCGAUUUCUUAAGAAUAAUAAAAAUGCAUACUCACACUAUGGAUAAACUUUUUAAAGUAUGUUCUGCCUUAUUUUCUGAGGUAUAAAAAUAUUUUAAGGCAAUUUCAAUGAAUCAGAUUUCAAGAAACUACUAGAACAUCUUUUGUGAGUUGCUUUCAUUUUGUCUGAAUUAUGAUAUGUAUUUCAACACUGUGCUCUACCAGAGUAUGUAGGUUUGUCUGUCACUUCACAGCUGUCAAAGGGAAAUUCUUAUUUUAAAUCUCUAUAUCAUCAUUGAAUAGUUCUAAUAAUAAAAGGCCUAAAUUUUAGGUCCUCAGGGAUAUCAAGGUAUCUCAUCUACUGUGUUGUUCAAGCUCUGGCAGCAUGUUGUAAAACAGAUAUGUAAUAAGCAAUAGAGGGUAAG